rnacentral:lncRNA from 1 species
CUCGAUGUCGCGCCGGAUUGGAUUUAGCUUUCGAGGUGGGUUUAUCAUCGGAUUCCUACUCGUAUAGUCUUGUUGGUCGACAUGUAUAGUUAGUAUUACACAUUACUAUUGUUUUAGCUCAGUUUCAUAUUUGUAAAUGUUGUUUUCAUCUAAACUGAAAUUGGAGCCUAUUUUUAUAAAUAAAUUAUACAUGUUGGACCUGAAUUUGACAUAGGAGAAAACCCGCAUUCGGGACCUGGCAUAUGUUAAACUAUCUUAUUUAGCCUAGGGGCCGUUGUAUUAUUUUAUACUGUUGCAGUAUCCUCAUAGUGAGUAUUCCAGGUAGUUUAGUUUUUAGUUACGCUCGUGCUGAGAUGCCGAGUGUAUUUUUAUAGUAGCGUUCAGGCUGUUCCGGACUGUUGGGUGCCGUAAGAGUUGACGGUGGACUCGUAUCGCCUUUUUGGCGUCAGAUUGUGCCGAGGGCACGUUACCUGUUGGUUGUUAGACCAGUUAGAGUCGGUUACUUGACUUAGCCUGUGAGAGCGGUAUGAACUUGACAGAGAUACUUGUAAACUCGUUGGGUCGCGCCCGCGAAUGCCAUUCUGGAAUGAGGUUUCAGUGCGAUGAGUGUCGCAGUUUCUGUUGGACAGUUCUUGAGCCGGCUACCCUCGGGGUGGUGUACGGCGCAACUAGAUACAGGCAGGGUGGGUCCGUUUUGGGCAGUCCUGGUGAGAUAGUGAGUGACAUUUUUUCCUACCUUUAGUGAGGUUGUGACGUGAGUGCAGUCUUAACCAUCCUGUUGGACCUUUUUCUGGGACCGACUAUUCUCGAGGUAUGGUGUAGUCUAAUUAGGUGAGACGGGUGUAUUCACAGUCUUUAGAGAGUUUUCUCCGCCGAUUACUCUUGAG